rnacentral:tRNA from 2 species
GGCGCCUUGGCCGAGUGGUUAGGCAGCGGCCUGCAAAGCCGUUUACAGCGGUUCGAAUCCGCUAGGCGCCU